UAUUUAUGUAGUACCUUUGUAAUAAAAGCUCACUUUCCCAACAUCUAAGAUUGAGUGACGGAGUCAGAAGUCGGCGGCGGGCCGAACGAUGGCGGCAUCACCGUGCAUCUUCUGUGAAAUCGCGCGGUCCACCACAACCACCCGCCUUAUCCACCAGGAUGACAAGAUCGUCGCUUUCCAGGACAUUAAACCUGCCGCAUUCAAACAUUACUUAAUCAUCCCUAUUGAGCACAUUCCAACAGUAAGAAAUCUGCAAAGAAGUGAAGAACACUAUUCCUUGGUGGCUCACAUGCUAAACGUGGGUAGAACACUGCUACAAGAAGAUGCUCCUCAGUCUACUCAGCAUAGAUUUGGUUUUCACCAACCUCCUUUUAACAGUGUUGAUCAUCUCCAUCUUCAUUGCCUGGCGCCUCCAUAUAUGCCAAGCUGGAAAUUUAUUAAAUACUCAUCAUUGGGGCCACUUGGUGGAUUCAUUAUAGCUGAGAAACUUCUAGAGAAACUUAAACCUUCAAAGUUCUCCCAUCUAUAGGUUCGUGUGGCUUUUUUUUACUGAAUGGAUCAGCAGCUCUGAUUGGUUUGUGUGCUUUGAGAUGAACAAUAAUGGCUGAAUUGAUUGAAGAGAGGCGAGCAGUAGGUGGUAGGAAUCGAAACUUUCGUCAAGGAUAAGAUGCUGAAUGUUUGGUAAGCUGCUUACUCGACUUCAUAAUACUAUUUAGUACAACAUUAAGUUUGACAAGAAGAGUGGAGGGUGUCUUGCCAAUUUACUAAUUAUAGUCAUGGAGAAGUCAAAACUGGUGAUUUGUUUAUGGGAUAUUUCUUGGCUACUUUAGAGUUGUCAAUGUUCUGGAAUCAGUCCUUUUCAUUACAAUUAUUUGAACUGGCUGUAGUAUUGUCAAACAUCAAGUACAGCUGGUUCUCUCCCUUUUUUUUAAUAAAAUGAACACUUAAUGCAUUUAUAAUAUCUAUUUUACUCCUACUC